rnacentral:rRNA from 1 species
CCUACGGGAGGCAGCAGUGAGGAAUAUUGGUCAAUGGACGAGAGUCUGAACCAGCCAAGUAGCGUGAAGGAUGACUGCCCUAUGGGUUGUAAACUUCUUUUAUAAAGGAAUAAAACGAGGCACGUGUGCCUUUUUGCAUGUACUUUAUGAAUAAGGAUCGGCUAACUCCGUGCCAGCAGCCGCGGUAAUACGGAGGAGCCGAGCGUUAUCCGGAUUUAUUGGGUUUAAAGGGAGCGUAGAUGGGUUGUUAAGUCAGUUGUGAAAGUUUGCGGCUCAACCGUAAAAUUGCAAUUGAUACUGGCAGUCGUGAGUACAGUUGAGGUAGGCGGAAUUCGUGGUGUAGCGGUGAAAUGCUUAGAUAUCACGAAGAACCCCGAUUGCGAAGGCAGCUUACUAAACUGUGACUGACAUUGAUGCUCGAAAGUGUGGGUAUCAAACAGGAUUAGAUACCCGUGUAGUC